ACAGCUGUUUGGACUUUGUGAGUGUGUUGUUGUUUUGCUCUUUGCAAUAAAUCUUGUUGCUGGUCACUCUUUGGGUCUGCACUGCUUUUAGAAGCUGUAACACUCUCCAGGAAGGUCGCAGCUUCACUCCUGAAGCCAGUGAGACCAUGAACCCACCAGAAGGAACGAACAACUCUGGACUUUUAUGAGCUGUAACACUCACCGGGAAAGUCUGCAGCUUCACUCUUGAAGCCAGUGAGACCAUGAACCCACCAGGAGAAAGGAAUAACUCUGGAAGUGCCGCCUUCAUGAGCUGUAACACUCACCAAGAAGGUCUCUGGCUUCUCCCCUGAAGCCAGCAAGACCACUAACCCACCAGGAAGAACAACUGUGGAUGCUCCAUCUGUGAGAGCUGUAGUACUCACGGCGAAGAUCUGCAGCUUCACUUCUGAAGUCAGUGAGACCACACAUCCACCAGAAGGAAGAAUCUCCAAACACAUCUGAACAUGUAAGGAAACAAACUCAGACACACCAUCUUUAAGAACCUUAACACUGACCGCAAGUGUUCACGGCUUCAUUCUUGAAGUCAGCCAGACCAAGAACCCACGGGAAGGAACCAAUUCUGGACACAAGCUUAGCUCAGCAGCUGCCCCAAAGGCAUGGACCUGAGAAGUUCCUCCCCCCCAUCAGGGCCAGUCAUACCCACCUCAGACCAGUCCACUUCCACCUCAGGGAAUCUGGGGGCCUUAGUCUGUUUCAGCUGCGUUAACAAAGUGCUUCAGGGGGGCGCUUUACAAAUUGUCUGCUA
rnacentral:lncRNA from 1 species